UACGGGGGGUGCGAGCGUUGUCCGGAAUCACUGGGCGUAAAGGGCGCGUAGGUGGUUUGAUAAGGGCGUGGUGAAAGUCCGGGGCUCAACCCCGGAUCUGCCGUGCCGACUGUCAAACUCGAGGGCUGUAGAGGCAGACGGAAUUCCGGGUGUAGCGGUGGAAUGCGUAGAGAUCCGGAGGAAGACCGGUGGCGAAGGCGGUCUGCUGGGCAGUUUCUGACACUGAUGCGCGACAGCGUGGGGAGCAAACAGG
rnacentral:rRNA from 1 species